CUUCAUCCAAUUGAAAUUUGAAUAUAUUUUUAAAUUGUGUCACCUAUGUAGUAGAACUGUGAAGUUAUUUUAGAAAUUGGUGCCUUCUAGGCCGAGAAAAGUCAGAAAAUGUGGUUUUUGGCUCAUGUGGAUGAAAAACACCAAGUCCCAGAAUGCAUUGCUUCGCUGCUCUACCAGGCCACUCCCUAGUCACGCCUACCGGUUCGAGACGGCAGGAGGGAGGGAUAUUCAACUCGGCUAAAUACAACUUUUACAGACACGUCUGCAACGAUUUAGUUGAUAUAUUAUUAUAAAUUCUACCUUUUCCACAUUGAAAUGAUGAUACGUUGCGUUGUAACGGGAUGUUCAACCAAAGUUCAACCAAAACCGGGAAAGGAUAAGCAGUAAGUUUUCAUCAUUUGCCGCGGUGUAAACAAUGGCUGCGGGCUAUCAACCACGCAAAGUUCAGAGAAGACAACGAUGCGGUAAAAUUGAAAAACCUGAGGGUUUGCAGUCUCCAUUUCAAGCUGGAAGAUAUCGAACCCAAUGUACUCGGAAUGAAGCGAAACACGCUAAAGGACACUGCAAUUCCGUCCAUAUGUACCUUCACAGACACGACGAACAGUCGGGGCCAUCUGGUAUCAAACGCAUUCGUCUACGUUAGAGGUUUCCGGAAGAAGAUGCAGAAGAAGGGGAAAAAAAGAACAAUGAAAUCCUCCUUGCAUGGACCAGGUCUGUCAUAAAUCAUAUGUGGUUUUCCUGUGCAACCAGUAAGGGGGAAGUCGAGGUAAGACAUUUGAUUCUAAUUAGUUUCUUUUUUUAGGAAAAAAGAUUUUUCUAGACUUAUUGAUAAUAAUCAUAUUUUCAUGCAGGUACUGAAAUGCCGGUGGAAGUCCAUUCUACACCAUAUAUUGAACAUAAUAUUAUUUUACUACUCUUAUAAUGUUAGUUCCGGCACUACAAUGGUACCACACUGCCCAUAGCUGUACAUAUCUUAUCUAUAUGGUUCUUGCUGAAUAUGAAUAUUUAUUGUGUUUUUCUUAUAAUAUAUUCUGUUUAUACACUACAUCAAUAUUAUUUAUACUACUAUUAGGUUACUGCUACUAACUCAUCCAGAAGGCCAUUGACAAGACUCAAUCCAAACAUUGUGUUCAAAGUGCCAACGUCCUCACUUGCCCUGCCACAGCCUGCGCUGCCACCCAACAUUGCACCAGUGCCUAAACCAUCAAAGGAGGCUGCCACGACUUCUUUCAAAAGUCGCUUCUGAGACUGACACUUUCUAAUAAUAAUAAUAAUCAUCAUCUCUUCCCUGAGUCCUAUUGCUGUGUCUAAUCAGAUUCUGCCACCACUCUUUAUAUUUUUAUUAUUAUAUACUGUGUAUAUUUAUACACUGUGUUUUUAUAUAUAUUUUUUGCUUUGUUUUUAUUUUGUGCAGGACAUUUUUAGAUGUAAAAUAUGUCAAUGUUUAUUUUAAUGUGUUC